GGGUUCUGAACGUGCUGCGCUCAACGGGAAGCGCUAGGACAUUUCCGUGCCACAAUGCGAAGUGCUUUUCGCUCAUUUGGGAACUUAGGUCUGAUAAAGCAAUGAUUUCCUCAAUUUCGGACACUUUUUAGCACAAUGACGAACAGUAAGAGAGACAAAGCAAAGGGCUUACAACCCUGCCACUCUGAUCCUUUCUGCGCUGAUAGUGGGACACCGUUCAAAAUGCCAGAACCUACCAAAAAAGAUGAAACAUCUAGUGCCCCCCCUGAAGAGAGUGUUGGUCCAGACAGUAGUGAAGCUCCACCCCUUCCUGAGAUCUCGCUUGAGAUUUCUCCACCAGAUAAAGAUGAUGAUGCUGCUGCCAGCACCCCUUCACCACAACCUCCAGCAGAGGAUGCCAGUUCACUCAAGAAACUGUCUAUUGAGCUACCUAGUAAGGACGGCUA
rnacentral:lncRNA from 1 species